rnacentral:rRNA from 5 species
GACCUCGGAUCAGGUAGGGAUACCCGCUGAACUU